rnacentral:sRNA from 1 species
GCCAGGCACAUGGUGGCAUGUGCCUAUAGUCCCAGCUACUUGGGAGGCUGAGGUGGGAGGAUCACUUGAGCCCAGAAGUACAAGGCUGCAGUGAGCCAUGAUUGUGCCACUGCACUCUAGCCUGGGCAACAGAGUGAGACCCUAACUCUA